rnacentral:rRNA from 1 species
CCUACGGGGGACAGCAGUGAGGAAUAUUGGUCAAUGGACGAGAGUCUGAACCAGCCAAGUAGCGUGAAGGAUGACUGCCCUAUGGGUUGUAAACUUCUUUUAUAAAGGAAUAAAACGAGGCACGUGUGCCUUGUUGCAUGUACUUUAUGAAUAAGGAUCGGCUAACUCCGUGCCAGCAGCCGCGGUAAUACGGAGGAUCCGAGCGUUAUCCGGAUUUAUUGGGUUUAAAGGGAGCGUAGAUGGGUUGUUAAGUCAGUUGUGAAAGUUUGCGGCUCAACCGUAAAAUUGCAAUUGAUACUGGCAGUCUUGAGUACAGUAGAGGUAGGCGGAAUUCGUGGUGUAGCGGUGAAAUGCUUAGAUAUCACGAAGAACCCCGAUUGCGAAGGCAGCUUACUAAACUGUGACUGACAUUGAUGCUCGAAAGUGUGGGUAUCAAACAGGAUUAGAUACCCCAGUAGUC